rnacentral:rRNA from 1 species
AAAGACCCCAUGGAGCUUUACUCCAGCUUGAUACUGGGAUUCGGUAAUGCAUGCACAGGAUAGGUGGGAGGCUACGAGUAUGGAACUCCGGUUUCAUAUGAGCCGCUGUUGGGAUACCACCCUUGCGUUACUGGGUUUCUAACCAUGGCCCGUGAUCCGGGUCGGGGACAAUGUCAGGUGGGGAGUUUGACUGGGGCGGUCGCCUCCGAAAGGGUAUCGGAGGCGCUCAAAGGUUCCCUCA